GACGAACGCUGGCGGCGUGCUUAACACAUGCAAGUCGAACGGUGAACGAGGGAGCUUGCUCCCUCCGGAUCAGUGGCGAACGGGUGAGUAACACGUGAGCAAUCUGCCCCGAACUCUGGGAUAAGCGUUGGAAACGACGUCUAAUACCGGAUACGACACGGGAGGGCAUCCUCUCCGCGUGGAAAGAACUUCGGUUCGGGAUGAGCUCGCGGCCUAUCAGCUUGUUGGUGAGGUAACGGCUCACCAAGGCGACGACGGGUAGCCGGCCUGAGAGGGUGACCGGCCACACUGGGACUGAGACACGGCCCAGACUCCUACGGGAGGCAGCAGUGGGGAAUAUUGCACAAUGGGCGCAAGCCUGAUGCAGCAACGCCGCGUGAGGGACGACGGCCUUCGGGUUGUAAACCUCUUUUAGCAGGGAAGAAGCGAAAGUGACGGUACCUGCAGAAAAAGCACCGGCUAACUACGUG
rnacentral:rRNA from 1 species